AGCGUAUGGCAACUAUACAAAAAGAAGGAUCGACUUUGUGGCGGACCUAAUAAAGAAAUGGCGGCGUAAACGAGAAAACGUUUGAGCAGUUGAUGAUACGACCGUUCGUUUGGGACCAGACAAUACUUUAAGCGUUCUGUGGUGAAAAUUCCUCCGGCUGAUUUUGUUUUCUUCUUGUUUUCAAUAUUAACAGAAUUCUAGUAACUCCUUUUCAUAUAUUGUACUAUGUUAAUGCACAUACAGAGGUAGACAAGUGAAAUCCAGUAAUCAGCUUAAACAGCUGAACUGUGACAUUUAUAUCCAAAUUAGACUGGUAUAAUUUAUUUAAAUAUAUUAGUGCGUACGCACAUAGUUUAAGACUGGAGCAUGGAGUACGGUCGUGUAGAAUAUUUUUUUGUUUUCAAGUGAUGUUCACUUCAACAACAUUACAGAACAUGUUGUUGUGGGACUGCUAAGUACGUGGCAUUUUAUGGGAGGUUAGCCUAAGCAUUCCUCAAAUGCUUGGAAGCUAUUUUUGUCAACAUUUUUUUCACUGGUUUACAAGAUUUAUUGUAUAAAUGUGAUAUGUUUCCCCCAAUGACUACGUGCGUUGUAGUAUUGCAUUAAGGCCAAUGUAGUGUUCGUGCGUUAGAUCUUUUGUACACAAAUAAGCGGGAGAUACCAAUUUUGCUGUCUGCUCAAAGGGUAUAAAUAGGGUUUCCUUUCGCAAACAAAUUAGUUGGUUUAUGGUCAGCUCUAUCUUUACUG